CAUUGACAAACCAUGUAAAUUUGUGCCAGAUGUGAUUGUUUUCUUGCUUUGGUUUUCUCUUUGCUUACCUUGUAAUUUCAAUAAUAUCUUGCAUCAUAACAAGAGCAUCAAAUGAUAGACAUUAGUUAUAAAUAGUUUCGGUAAAUAAGAUGCACGAACCCUUUGCCUACAUGUACAGAAUUAGAGCAUUUAUAUGUUGGUGUUUUUAGGGAUUUUGUGAAUGUUUUCAGUAGGCUAUAGCCUCUAUAUCUUAAGUUCAAGCUCCAUGACGCUUGCAUAUUGUCCCACACAAAUGCAAAGUCAUUUUGGGUCUUACUUUAUAAUCUUUCGUCUCUGAAACCAUUAGGAAAACUGGAAAAAUUGUAAACGCAGCAAGAAAUUGAACAUUUUGGAGGUAACAGGUUUUCCAACCGGCAUUGUCGACCAUCACUUACCAAUUACCUAUGCCUAGCUCUGUAGAUAAUGAGAGUUACCAAUUGGCUUUGCCUCCACAAACUGCAUAGACAACCAACUUGAACGAAAUUCCAGGAUAUGCUAAAUUAGGAGAUGGCAUGCAAGCUUAUAAUAAUGAUUUUGAAAUCAGCCUUUUCCCCAUGUAUUUGGGAAUGAUUUCUUCCCAAACCUGAGUACACCUAGUAGCCCUCGUGAAUUGCCGGAGUUGAUGAGGUCUAUGGAACAAUUUUCAGAGGUAGAUGCUUUCUGGUUGAACAGAGAAAGUACUUAUGAAUGAGUUCACAAUUUGAAUUGUUUUACUGAUAUGAAUGACGCUGCAGAUUGUUUGAAUGGCGCCGGUGUUGAAGAAAUCGUGAAAGAAGCGCAAUACAGGUGAUUGAAUGUAGUUGAAAUAUGCAAAAUAUUUGAAAACCAUGAAAAGCUUCAAAUACUUGCCUCUCAACCACAACGAAGGCCUCCAAGUAUUGUUUCAUUUGGGAUUUUAUUUUUCUAACCAUUUUAUGGAUGUAACAUGGCUAAGUUACAUUAAUUGCAAGUGGCUCCUUUUUUGUCAUUAAGCUGCAAAGGCUUUGAGAGUUUAGGAAGGAUGACCAUGUGUCGGGGAAAAAGAAAAAGAAAGAUGCAAAGACGGUACAUGAGUUUAUUAAAAUUUCAAGGUUCGUGCAAUAAUUUGAUGUAGAUUUUAUAUUCAAUGUUGUCUAUCAGUUUCAUCAAUUAACAAGAGUGAAAUUUUACAAGUUAA